rnacentral:tRNA from 1 species
UGCAUCGGCCGGGAAUCGAACCCGGUCCGCCAGCGUGGCAGGCGAGCAUUCUACCACUGAACCACCGAUGG